AGAUUUUAAAGCACUGGAGUUACAGGUUCUUAGCUACGAAGAUGAAAUCUGGGACACUAGGGGAAAAAAUAACAGCUUGUUGCCUAAAGGUGACAGUGGCUACUUUAAAUAGAAUGAUGUGAUGCUGCUGGUCCUAAAGGUGAAGAAUCAUUUUCUAAACAUGGAAAAACAAUAAAGGUGGAGUUCAGAAACUAAAAACCUAAA